rnacentral:rRNA from 1 species
GACGAACGCUGGCGGCGUGCUUAACACAUGCAAGUCGAGCGGAGCGGCGAACGGGUGAGUAACGCGUGAGUAACUGCCCCCCUCUCUGGGAUAAAAGUUGGAAACGGCUGCUAAUAACGGAUAGUGGGGGAUGACUCGCGUCCUAUCAGCGUGUUGGUGGGGUAGUGGCCUACCAAGGCGACGACGGGUAGCCGGCCGGAGAGGGCGACCGGCCACAUUGGGCUGAGAUACGGCCCGAGCGCGUACUGGGGGCAGCAGGGGGGAAUGUGGCGCAAUGGGGGAAACCCUGAUGCAGAAACGCCGCGUGCGGGAUGACGGCCUUCGGGUUGUAAACCGCUUUCAGCCAUGACGCGGUAGUGGCAGAAGAAGCACCGGCUAACUACGUGCCAGCCGCCGCGGUAAUAC